UACGAAGGGGGCUAGCGUUGCCCGGAAUCACUGGGCGUAAAGCGCACGUAGGCGGCUUUCUAAGUCAGGGUGAAAUCCUGGAGCUCAACUCCAGAACUGCCUUUGAUACUGGGUAUCUUGAGUUCGGAAGAGGUGAGUGGAAUUCCGGUGUAGCGGUGAAAUGCGUAGAUAUCGGAAGGAACACCAGUGGCGAAGGCGAGUCCCUGGACGAUACCUGACACUGAGGCACGAAAGCCAAGGAGCAAACAGG
rnacentral:rRNA from 1 species